rnacentral:rRNA from 1 species
UAAAUAUACAAUAAUAAAAGAGGAGUUAAAUAAAUUCCUCCCAUCACCCCAACAAAACACUCAUUUCCACUCAAUAAAAAUAAAACAAACAAUACAAAAAUAAAAACAAAUGUCAAACUCUAUAGGGUCUUCUCGUCCCAUAAAAACAUUUAAGAAUUUUAACUCAAAAACCAAAUUCAAUAAAACAAUGCCUCUAAGACAGCUCAUGUCUCGUCAAGCCAUUCAUACCAGAUCACAAUUAAAGAACUAAUGAUUAUGCUACCUUUGCACGGUCAAAAUACCGCGGCCCUUCAACAACAAGUCAGUGGGCAGGCCAUACUUCAAAAACUAACAAGAAAAGAUGUUUUUGUUAAACAGGCGGACAUAAAAAUCUUUGCCUAAUUCCUCAAAAGCAAUUAACACCUUAUUUUAAAAUAACAAAACAAAUAUAAUUUACUAAUUACACAAUAAUUACCAAACAGACCAAAAAUAAAGAAAACAUUUCAAUAAACAACUUAAAUAACAAAAAAAUCAAAAAAAGAACAAAUAAAAUUUUAACAUAAUCAAAUAGAAAAUCACCAUAAAAUCCACAAAACUAAAUUCAAAUCAAACCAAUUAUAAGGAUAAAACAAGGAGCUAGUCCCCCUUAAUCUUAACAUCAAAUAAAAAUAAAUAA